rnacentral:rRNA from 1 species
AGAGUUUGAUCCUGGCUCAGGACGAACGCUGGCGGCGUGCCUAAUACAUGCAAGUCGAGCGAGCGGAACCAACAGAUUUACUUCGGUAAUGACGUUGGGAAAGCGAGCGGCGGAUGGGUGAGUAACACGUGGGGAACCUGCCCCUAAGUCUGGGAUACCAUUUGGAAACAGGUGCUAAUACCGGAUAAUAAAGCAGAUCGCAUGAUCAGCUUUUGAAAGGCGGCGUAAGCUGUCGCUAAGGGAUGGCCCCGCGGUGCAUUAGCUAGUUGGUAAGGUAACGGCUUACCAAGGCGACGAUGCAUAGCCGAGUUGAGAGACUGAUCGGCCACAUUGGGACUGAGACACGGCCCAAACUCCUACGGGAGGCAGCAGUAGGGAAUCUUCCACAAUGGACGCAAGUCUGAUGGAGCAACGCCGCGUGAGUGAAGAAGGUUUUCGGAUCGUAAAGCUCUGUUGUUGGUGAAGAAGGAUAGAGGUAGUAACUGGCCUUUAUUUGACGGUAAUCAACCAGAAAGUCACGGCUAACUACGUGCCUGCAGCCGCGGUAAUACGUAGGUGGCAAGCGUUGUCCGGAUUUAUUGGGCGUAAAGCGAGCGCAGGCGGAAAAAUAAGUCUAAUGUGAAAGCCCUCGGUUUAACCGAGGAAACUGCAUCGGAAACUGUUUUUCUUGAGUGAAAAAAAGGAGAGUGAAACUCCUUGUGGAGCGGGGGGAAUGCGUAAAAAUAAGGAAAAACACUAAUGGGGGAAGGGCGGUUCUUCGGGUCUGCAACUGAACCCUGAAGCUCCAAAAGCUUGGGU